rnacentral:rRNA from 1 species
AUUGAACGCUGGCGGCAUGCCUUACACAUGCAAGUCGAACGGGCAGCACGGGAGCAAUCCUGGUGGCGAGUGGCGAACGGGUGAGUAAUAUAUCGGAACGUGCCCAGUCGUGGGGGAUAACGUAGCGAAAGCUACGCUAAUACCGCAUACGAUCUACGGGAUGAAAGCGGGGGAUCGCAAGACCUCGCGCGAUUGGAGCGGCCGAUAUCAGAUUAGCUAGUUGGUGGGGUAAAAGCGUCACCAAGGCGACGAUCUGUAGCUGGUCUGAGAGGACGACCAGCCACACUGGAACUGAGACACGGUCCAGACUCCUACGGGAGGCAGCAGUGGGGAAUUUUGGGACAAUGGGCGCAAGCCUGAUCCAGCAAUGCCGCGUGCAGGAUGAAGGCCUCGGUUGUAAACUGACUUUGUACGGUACGAAACGGUGAGGCUCGUAUAAGACUUGCUAAUGAGGUACCGUAAGAAUAAGCACCGGCGUAACUACGUGCCG